ensembl:lncRNA
UAUUUUCCGUGAUGGAGCCUCCACCAGCCUGCCUCAUAGAAUAAGGAAGAGGUUGAGCAAAGUUUGCACUUUGUCCUUAAGAAAAUGAGGAAUCCAUGAACAGAUUUGGAACAAUCAGUCAUGGCUCUGCAUAUAAGAUGAACAAAAAUGAAGAAAGACAGGAAGAUGUUUAGUACAAGAUUAUUCUAAUAUUCAAGGGGAUGCUAAAAAAGGUCAUUGUGUGAAAUGAUGAAAUGCAUCUUCAUAAGAAAGCGCAAGAACUUGAAUUUGAGAAGAAAAAUAUAAAAGGAAAAAUAUUCUAGAAUCAGAUAUGAAAAUCACCGUGUCAGAUUAUGAAGCUGGAAUUUAUUCUUUGAAAAAUAGAAGAAAACAAGAUAAAACUAUGAAGAACGCAUUGCUGCUGCUUUAACAAUACUCAGAGAUGUUAUCACCAAAAGCCAUCAGUAACUGCCACAUGAGGCAGUCCCUACAAGGAGAGCAUUGCCUUCUGGUGUAUUGUGACAAGCUCAUCUGCAUGCAUGCACGAGUUCAUAUAGGACUGACAUUUUUGAAAGAACACCACAGCUUGAGAAAUAGAAAGAAGCUUUAGAUCAUCCAAUCCAGGUGAUUUUCACACAAAGUUUGACUGUAAAACUUUUUAGUGAAGAUGCUUUUCUACUCAGUAUACAUUUACUGAGCACAUACACAUAUGUAAAUACAGAUAUGAAUAAAAUACAGUGCUUAUCUUAGAAAUGAUUCUGUUUAAUAAAGGCAUCUUUCUCUCACUCUGUCAAACAGACAUGUAUGUGCACACACACACACAUGCAUGCACAUGCACCCCACAAUGCUCCUUGAAUUUAUAAAUAAAAGGGAGCUAUAGAAUGGGCAGAGGGGUGAGGGUUGGGGAGAUUGAGAAAAGCGUUGCAGGGGAACUGUGAGAAGGAAAGGUUUUCUAGUAACACAUAUUACUUGACCUGGUAUUGGAGGCAUGAAAAAAUAUUUCAAAGGCCGAAAUUUAAAAAGAAGUUAUUCCAGGCAUGAGAGUGGUAUGAACAAAGGCAGAAGCCUGAUAACAUAAAAAAUUAGAGAAAAUAAAUAUAGGCCACAAUUUACAGACUUAAAGGUCUACUUUAAGGACAGCGUGGGUCCAUUCUGACAGGAUAUUGAUAGUUAAAGAUGGGCUUUGGGGAGAUUGUUCUGGUAACAGGGCCCUUUGCUGGGUAAAGACAGAAUUAGAAGAGGAAAUGACAUUUGUAAUGGGAGCAUCACCCAAUUUUCUCUCUACACAACCCUGUAGUCACUCCUGGGGUGACUUUACAGAAACCAGAGGGUUCCACAGACAGGAUUUAAAAGUUCUUUUUCUUUUUUUUUGAGUCCAUCUCUCACAUUUCACAACUGAAGGAACCAUGGCUUGGAGUUCAUGAAUAACUUGAGCAAGAUCAUACAACAAUCUAUUCUUGAGAUUUUGCUUCAUAGCACUCAACUAUGGAUCGGUAGCUAUAAACUGCUUCAAGGCAUUUUCUCCUGAUUACUUCAUACCAUAGUGAUUUGCUUUUCCUGGAUAUAGUCUCAGUUUUUCUUGUAAUUACCAGUUCCUUAAGAAAAACAGAGUUCAUUAGAUUUCAUGGACAUUAGCAGACCAGCAGGUGUCUAUUACAAUGUCUAUGUAUUCUUGAUCACUAUUAUAAUUAUUGCCAUUGUUAUUAUCAUUUGAAGUGCCCAAAAUUGUGUGUUUUCAGAGUCAUGAAGUGUCUUGACAUUUAAUUUUUAAGAAUUUCAUUUAAGAGCCAAAAGUUGCAAUUGCAUAGUCUAGGAGACAUUUAGAUGUUAACAACUCCUUUUAGAAUGAAACACAUGGUAAUAACCUAUUUAUAUUGAAGAUAAAUG